GAUGAACGCUAGCUACAGGCUUAACACAUGCAAGUCGAGGGGAAACGAUAUUGGAAGCUUGCUUCCGAUAGGCGUCGACCGGCGCACGGGUGAGUAACGCGUAUCCAACCUGCCCAUCACUCGGGGAUAACCUUGCGAAAGUAAGACUAAUACCCAAUGAUAUCUCUAGAAGACAUCUGAAGGAGAUUAAAGAUUCAUCGGUGAUGGAUGGGGAUGCGUCUGAUUAGCUUGGUGGCGGGGUAACGGCCCACCAAGGCGACGAUCAGUAGGGGUUCUGAGAGGAAGGGCCCCCACAUUGGAACUGAGACACGGUCCAAACUCCUACGGGAGGCAGCAGUGAGGAAUAUUGGUCAAUGGACGAGAGUUUGAACCAGCCAAGUCGCGUGAAGGAUGAAGGUCCUAUGGAUUGUAAACUUCUUUUGUGCGGGAAUAAAGUCGGGGAUGCGUCCCCGUUUGCAUGUACCGUACGAAUAAGCAUCGGCUAACUCCGUGCCAGCAGCCGCCGUAA
rnacentral:rRNA from 1 species